GGAACAAAUUGUGCUCGCAAGCCAGGUUACAAGGAAAUACAAUUUUAUCUACUUUUCUUUCUUUGUUCUCCCCGUCAGGGACACCUUGCGUUCAUGUGGAAUGUAUGCUAAAAUUGAAGAGCCCGCACUGAUACGUUGUUGUUGUUGUUGUUGUUUUAUAACGGAAGUCCACAGUUUCCUGUAGGGUUCCUCUCGGUUGUGAUACAUUCUAUGGGUUUGGACAAAUGGACGGUAAUGAUGUAUACCCACCAUUAUAGCCUCACGCAGACGGCUUCGCUGCCCUAAACACCCUCCGUGUUUCCCGUUCAUCCCUCCCUCCUCCCCAACCCCUGGCGGCCGCUGGUCCUCCUACUGUCUCCAGAGUCCUGCCUUUUCCAGAAUGUCCUACAGUUGAGAUCGCACGGUCUGUGGCCUUUUCAGACUGGCUUCUUUCACUCAGUGACGUGCAUUUAAGACUUUUGCACGUCUUUGGGGAACUUGCUAGAGGGGUCUCUCUCUCCCGCUCUCUCUCUUCACCUCUAAAUAAUAUUCCAUUGUCUGGAUGGACCACAGUAACUUUAUCCAUCACCGACUGAAGGGUUUCUUGGUGGCUUCUGAGUUUUAGUGACUCUGAAUAAAGAUGCUAUAAACAUCCGUGUGCAGGUUUUUGUGUGGCAGUAGCUCCUUUGGGUACGAGAACCAAGGAGUGUGGCUGCGGGAUCGUGCGGGGACGGUGUGACUGGUUCUGUAAGAUACCGUCUUCUGCAGGGGCUGCACGGUGAGCAGUGAGUGGGCUCGGGGGCUGCACAUCCUCGCCAGCGUCGGUGUGGUCAGUGCUCCGGAUCCUGGCCAUCCCGACAGAUCACAAUAAAAGAAGGAGAGGAAACAAGCGGCCUCAGUCGGUGAGGCACUGAACGGAAGCAGGGAACUUGCCCAGCAGUGGGGACAACGCGGGCCUGAACGAGGCAUCUCCCCCAGGACCCCCGCUCUCAGCACAGAGCACGGAGACCUCCCUGCACGCCCCCCACCUGCUCCGUCUGCCCGUGAGGGUCCCAGGCUGCCCCCCCCCCAGCCCCCUCAGGUCACGGUCACUGGGGUGCAUCCCUCCCUUUGUGCCAGUAACUCCAGGCGUGAUCCUGACGCCACGAAGUCACCAGCGACGCCACGAAGUCACCAGCGACACCACCGGCUGAAGCGGCCUGACCUCACAGAGCAGAGCCCCACCCCUUCCUAAUCCCGGCCACUCCCCGCCCGCCCCACUCACCGGCUCCCCUCCGGUCCUCUCUGACGCUCAGCUUCGGGGGUGCCGGAGGGGAGCCCUCUCCCUCCGCCCGGCUGCAUUCAGGGUCCCUGUCACUCGGGGAAAAACCAAAGGUCUGUGUUGAAAAUGACACAUCCGCUGAGCAAAAUUCAAGUCGUGAGCCCUGGCUCCCACCUGCCUCCUCAGCGCAGCUCGGUGCCCCCGCCGGGGCCCGUGGUUCCUGCCCCGUUCCGUGCUCCUUCCCGAGCAGAGGGUCCCUGUCGCCCGGGAAGGUGGUGGCUCUGAGGGCAGGACGUGGGUCCCGCGCCGCAGCCGGCUCCGGGAAAGAGCAUCUGCAGGGGAACAGCAGGGACCCCCACCGCCCGGCACGGACUGACGAUGCUCAGCCCCUGCCUCACCGCUUCCCACCGCCCCGCGGGGCAGGUGCCUGCGACCCAAGGUACAGAUAGCGACCGGGCAGACAGUGGUGGCGAGGGCAGGUGCGGUGGCCCCUCGGCACCACUGUGUGCCGAGGACCUCGGUACGUCCAGUGCCGACACACCCUCCCUCUCCUGCCCCGACUGGACCACCCGCCCCCGGGUCCCUCCUGUAGCCCCACGAACCCCCGCCCGGCGGCUGAGUCCCUCGGAUGAUCUCCGUCCCGGUCCUUCUGUCCAGACACCGAGUGAGACGACUUUCCCACCUUCCGGGGGCCUGGCCCGUGACUCGCAGGCCUCCUGGCUAAACGGUUUCCUGAGGGGAAAACAGGACCACGGGGCCUUGCUGAGAACUCCCUGCCAUCGGUCAGGACGCCACCAAGGCUGAGUUCUCUGAGAUGCAAACCCUUCAGCACCGGCCUCUCCUGUCUUUCCAGGAUUCCGGGGCCUUAGGGGCCCUCGGAGUUACAACCUUCGCGCAGGACCAGGUGGUAACCAGUCUAGGCUCCGAGAGCCGGGUGGGGUGUGUCGUGAGCGGUCACCUCUGCCACAGACAGCUGGGGGAUGAGCGGGUGUGGCUGUGUUCCCAUCACACAUCCCUUGAGAAAACAGGCCGAGGACUGGGUGUGGCCGGGAGGCCGUGUUGCUGACCCCUGGCUUCGAGAAAGGCAGAAGGGAAGACGUUCACCGGCUACGUUUCUUUUCUUCCUGAGUUCAGGACACCGUCACGGCCCCUGGGGGCUCGGGAACUGCUCAUUCAGAAGCGUCUGUGACCUCCCACGCCAGCUGGUUCCCCUGUAAGUCGGGGGUCUCCCCCACCGCCCCCCAAGAGGAGGUGCAAACCCAUUUCCUGCUGGAUCCACACAGGGUGGGGUGUCCCCAAAUCGUAGCAACUCGCCUAUCUUUCUGCUCCUUGAGUUUCCAACUAGGACGAUUAAAAAAAACCCAAGAACUAUUUUCAAGGCCCUUGCAGACGGCCAUUGGCAGGGUGCCAGCCGCGGCUGGCGCUGCGACGGCAGGGUCCUCUCUGAACCAGCCGGAUGGUGCCUUCUACCCGGGAGAGCAAAUUCCAAGGGACUUCUGGGGUUAAAGCUCCAAGCCUCCGAUGCAAGAAUGCUGCCUCCCCAGGCCGACUGGAGUGCCGCCAAGCAGAGCCACCAGGAUGGAGAAGCCGUCCCCAGCCUGGGGACGCCUACACCUGUCGCAGCCCAGAGAGGCCAGGAGGCAGCGGCCGGGCUCAUCCCCGCCCAACACAGGGGGGCGCCACCCCGCCAGGGAUGCUCUCCCAGGAGCCCUUCUCCUCCACCCGGACGCGGGAAAGAGCCCACUGGGGUCUGGAAGGCUGCAGGGCUGAGGCCCAGCGAGGAGACGGGCUCAUGAGGACAGAGCCCUGGCGUGUUUUGCUCGCUCUUGAAUCCCCAGCGCCUGGCACAUCCUUGGAACAGAGUUGGCUCAAGAAACACCUGCGAAAUGAACGAACGAAUUACCAAACAGAGAAGCAGAAACUAUGACUGAAACAUAAAAGUCCAUUAAAACGUGUAGGGCUUCCUCACCGGGCCCAGAGCACCGGGCUUGAAAGCAGGGAGGGGAGGCACACUCCUCGGGGGCAGAACUCAAGGAAGGCCCCAAACUCUGUGACUGAGAUAGACAACUUUUUGAUGCAGUAUUUGAAGAAAAUCAAAGGGCACGCAAAUAAUUCAUGAUAACCUUUUAAAAUUUUUUUUUAAAUGUUUAAUUUUGAGAGAGAGAGAGAGAGAGAGAGAGAG